GACAGAGGGGGCAAGCGUUGCUCGGAAUUACUGGGCGUAAAGGGCGCGUAGGCGGGAUGGCAAGUCGGGCGUGAAAUCCCUCGGCUCAACCGAGGAACGUCGAUCGAUACUGCUGUUCUUGAGGAUUGCAGAGGAGACUGGAAUUCCCGGUGUAGCGGUGAAAUGUGUAGAGAUCGGGAGGAACACCGGUGGCGAAGGCGGGUCCCUGGGCAAUUCCUGACGCUGAGGCGCGAAAGCGUGGGGAGCAAACGGG
rnacentral:rRNA from 1 species